rnacentral:rRNA from 1 species
GUGGGGAAUAUUGGACAAUGGGCGGAAGCCUGAUCCAGCCAUGCCGCGUGUGUGAAGAAGGCCUUUUGGUUGUAAAGCACUUUAAGCGAGGAGGAGGCUCCUUUAGUUAAUACCUAAAGUGAGUGGACGUUACUCGCAGAAUAAGCACCGGCUAACUCUGUGCCAGCAGCCGCGGUAAUACAGAGGGUGCGAGCGUUAAUCGGAUUUACUGGGCGUAAAGCGUGCGUAGGCGGCUUUUUAAGUCGGAUGUGAAAUCCCUGAGCUUAACUUAGGAAUUGCAUUCGAUACUGGAAAGCUAGAGUAUGGGAGAGGAUGGUAGAAUUCCAGGUGUAGCGGUGAAAUGCGUAGAGAUCUGGAGGAAUACCGAUGGCGAAGGCAGCCAUCUGGCCUAAUACUGACGCUGAGGUACGAAAGCAUGGGGAGCAAACAGGAUUAGAAACCCCAGUAGUCC